rnacentral:rRNA from 1 species
GGUUAAGUUAGAAAGGGCGCACGGUGGAUGCCUUGACACUAGGAGUCGAUGAAGGACGGGACUAACGCCGAUAUGCUUCGGGGAGCUGUAAGUAAGCUUUGAUCCGAAGAUUUCCGAAUGGGGAAACCCACCAUACGUAAUGGUAUGGUAUCCUUAUCUGAAUACAUAGGGUAAGGAAGACAGACCCAGGGAACUGAAACAUCUAAGUACCUGGAGGAAGAGAAAGCAAAUGCGAUUUCCUGAGUAGCGGCGAGCGAAACGGAACAUAGCCCAAACCAAGAGGCUUGCCUCUUGGGGUUGUAGGACAUUCUAUACGGAGUUACAAAGGAACGAGGUAGACGAAGCGACCUGGAAAGGUCCGUCGUAGAGGGUAACAACCCCGUAGUCGAAACUUCGUUCUCUCUUGAAUGUAUCCUGAGUACGGCGGAACACGUGAAAUUCCGUCGGAAUCUGGGAGGACCAUCUCCCAAGGCUAAAUACUCCCUAGUGAUCGAUAGUGAACCAGUACCGUGAGGGAAAGGUGAAAAGCACCCCGGAAGGGGAGUGAAAGAGAUCCUGAAACCGUGUGCCUACAAAUAGUCAGAGCCCGUUAACGGGUGAUGGCGUGCCUUUUGUAGAAUGAACCGGCGAGUUACGAUCCCGUGCGAGGUUAAGCUGAAGAGGCGGAGCCGCGCGAAAGCGAGUCUGAAUAGGGCGUUUAGUACGUGGUCGUAGACCCGAAACCAGGUGAUCUACCCAUGUCCAGGGUGAAGUUCAGGUAACACUGAAUGGAGGCCCGAACCCACGCACGUUGAAAAGUGCGGGGAUGAGGUGUGGGUAGCGGAGAAAUUCCAAUCGAACCUGGAGAUAGCUGGUUCUCCCCGAAAUAGCUUUAGGGCUAGCCUUAAGUGUAAGAGUCUUGGAGGUAGAGCACUGAUUGGACUAGGGGUCCUCAUCGGAUUACCGAAUUCAGUCAAACUCCGAAUGCCAAUGACUUAUCCUUAGGAGUCAGACUGCGAGUGAUAAGAUCCGUAGUCAAAAGGGAAACAGCCCAGACCGCCAGCUAAGGUCCCAAAGUGUGUAUUAAGUGGAAAAGGAUGUGGAGUUGCUUAGACAACUAGGAUGUUGGCUUAGAAGCAGCCACCAUUUAAAGAGUGCGUAAUAGCUCACUAGUCGAGUGACUCUGCGCCGAAAAUGUACCGGGGCUAAAUACACCACCGAAGCUGCGGAUUGAUACCGAAUGGUAUCAGUGGUAGGGAGCGUUCUAAGGACAGUGAAGUCAGACCGGAAGGACUGGUGGAGUGCUUAGAAGUGAGAAUGCCGGUAUGAGUAGCGAAAGACGGGUGAGAAUCCCGUCCACCGAAUGCCUAAGGUUUCCUGAGGAAGGCUCGUCCGCUCAGGGUUAGUCAGGACCUAAGCCGAGGCCGACAGGCGUAGGCGAUGGACAACAGGUUGAUAUUCCUGUACCACCUCUUUAUCGUUUGAGCAAUGGAGGGACGCAGAAGGAUAGAAGAAGCGUGCGAUUGGUUGUGCACGUCCAAGCAGUUAGGCUGAUAAGUAGGCAAAUCCGCUUAUCGUAAAGGCUGAGCUGUGAUGGGGAAGCUCCUUAUGGAGCGAAGUCUUUGAUUCCCCGCUGCCAAGAAAAGCUUCUAGCGAGAUAAAAGGUGCCUGUACCGCAAACCGACACAGGUAGGCGAGGAGAGAAUCCUAAGGUGUGCGAGAGAACUCUGGUUAAGGAACUCGGCAAAAUGACCCCGUAACUUCGGGAGAAGGGGUGCUUUCUUAACGGAAAGCCGCAGUGAAUAGGCCCAAGCGACUGUUUAGCAAAAACACAGCUCUCUGCGAAGCCGUAAGGCGAAGUAUAGGGGGUGACACCUGCCCGGUGCUGGAAGGUUAAGGAGAGGGGUUAGCGUAAGCGAAGCUCUGAACUGAAGCCCCAGUAAACGGCGGCCGUAACUAUAACGGUCCUAAGGUAGCGAAAUUCCUUGUCGGGUAAGUUCCGACCCGCACGAAAGGUGUAACGAUUUGGGCACUGUCUCAACCAGAGACUCGGUGAAAUUAUAGUACCUGUGAAGAUGCAGGUUACCCGCGACAGGACGGAAAGACCCCGUGGAGCUUUACUGUAGCCUGAUAUUGAAUUUUGGUACAGUUUGUACAGGAUAGGCGGGAGCCUUUGAAACCGGAGCGCUAGCUUCGGUGGAGGCGCUGGUGGGAUACCGCCCUGACUGUAUUGAAAUUCUAACCUACGGGUCUUAUCGACCCGGGAGACAGUGUCAGGUGGGCAGUUUGACUGGGGCGGUCGCCUCCUAAAGUGUAACGGAGGCGCCCAAAGGUUCCCUCAGAAUGGUUGGAAAUCAUUCGUAGAGUGCAAAGGCAUAAGGGAGCUUGACUGCGAGACCUACAAGUCGAGCAGGGACGAAAGUCGGGCUUAGUGAUCCGGUGGUUCCGCAUGGAAGGGCCAUCGCUCAACGGAUAAAAGCUACCCCGGGGAUAACAGGCUUAUCUCCCCCAAGAGUCCACAUCGACGGGGAGGUUUGGCACCUCGAUGUCGGCUCAUCGCAUCCUGGGGCUGUAGUCGGUCCCAAGGGUUGGGCUGUUCGCCCAUUAAAGCGGUACGCGAGCUGGGUUCAGAACGUCGUGAGACAGUUCGGUCCCUAUCCGUCGUGGGCGUAGGAAAUUUGAGAGGAGCUGUCCUUAGUACGAGAGGACCGGGAUGGACGCACCGCUGGUGUACCAGUUGUUCUGCCAAGGGCAUAGCUGGGUAGCUAUGUGCGGAAGGGAUAAGUGCUGAAAGCAUCUAAGCAUGAAGCCCCCCUCAAGAUGAGAUUUCCCAUAGCGUAGGCUAGUAAGAUCCCUGAAAGAUGAUCAGGUUGAUAGGUUCGAGGUGGAAGCAUGGUGACAUGUGGAGCUGACGAAUACUAAUAGAUCGAGGACUUAACCAU